rnacentral:rRNA from 1 species
UUGCGCUUUCAAUACGAGGGGCCUGCAUUCUGCUGCAGAAAGGGAAAAGUGGAUGUAUUUACUCCAGAUGUUUGUGAGGAGUUGAAACGGUUGUUUACAAGUCAAGAUGAUGGGGAUGCUAGAUAUUUCAGAGAAAAUAUACGGUAUUUCAACUCCCACUUCUCAUUCACAAGUCUGGGAGUCACCCUUGAUCGCCGAGUCAGCACCGCAGCAGGAACCGGCGUAUAUACAUUUCGUGCGUGUGGAGGGUUGUACCACGCUCUUGAUGAUCUCGAGUCUGGUGAUAAUGGCCCUCGACAUUUGCAGCUAUAUAUUUAUGAUACAGAUGAAAACUUGUUUCAUAGGGUUAAGAGGUCUCCAAAUCUUAGGUUAGAUCUCAUACGGAAGAUUCUGGCAAUACUAGAGCAUAACCCUUAUGCUCAAGUAUUUAAAAGCCUUGGAGUUGUUCCAAAUCUAGAUGAAUACAGGAUCUCAUUAAAUACCGAUAUCAAGCUUGAUCAACGAAGGUACAAUGCGCCAACAACUUCUCAGGUAGCAGCAAUAUGGGUUGAAGGGAGCGACCCACAAAAAACCUUUGAUAGAAGUGUUAUCAUGUACGGGAAAGGAGAGCGUCCCCUGUAUAUUAGAGCAUACUAUGGGUGCUACGACCCUUUGUCAUAUCCACUAUUCUUCCCACGUGGGGAGAUCGGUUGGAAUCGUUUGAUGCCAUAUAUUGGGGCCGCCGAUGACACAAACCAAGAUUUAGUGGAUGAUACUGCACGACAACAUAAUCCAUCUUGCAGACGAUGA